UGUGCGUUUGUGUGCAUGUGUGUGUGUGCACGGGGGUGGUUGGUGUUGUUCCUGGCAGCCAAAAGCUUUAUUUACUCCUGUUUGGAAACCAACAGCAUCUAUUCUGAGUGAAUCCUCUUUCCUGCAGCGACGGAGGAGAAAAACUGAAGCAUCCCUGCCUCCUUCAGAUUUGCCAGGGUUUACUGAGGGGAGACCUUUGAUGAAAAGAUAUUAUAACAACGCUUUUCCCGCCUGUAUAGUUUGAAAGGCAUCAUCGGAUGCCAUGCAGGUAGACAGAGAGAGGUUCGAGAGGGGGAAAGAGAGAGAGAGAGAGAGACAGAGCGUGAUAGCAGGCGGACUGACUUGGAUCAGCUCUUCUGCUCACGUCAGUCCCGUCAUUUCCUUCCGUGCCUGACCAACUCAUAAAGGAAUCCGUCUGAUUUCUUUACCAGUCCGGCCUUUUUGAAGUGAUGCAAGUUUGUCUCUCGCUAAAGUAAACAGAAGAUGUGUAGCAGUCACUGCGCUUAAGAAAUAUUUGAAAAAAAGUAGUGAAAGUGAUCUCGAAAUUCUGUGUUUGAGUUCAGCAAGAUGCGCCCGACACAAAUGCUUUAAUGUGUUUUUUGGUUUAAGAGCUCUGCUCACAAUAACUUAGCAUCCUAGCGACGAGGAGAGCGCCAAAGAGGCGACGGGAGCGUCAGCCCAAAAAAGAGUCUGAAAGAAUCACCCUUUUAUUUAAGGUAUUAGAGCUGAAUUAGCGACCCGGAUCGGCAAGAUGAUGAAUUAGCCUACAGACGUCUGCACAGUCCUGCAGCCCAACUAGGGGGACAAGACUCGCGCUCGCCCCCAGUCCCAGGCUGUGUACGACUUUGCCCAAUUUGUCCAGUAUUUUGCAUGCGGACUACGAGACUGCCGUGCCACAGAUGGAAAAGCAAAAACAAAUAAACCACAUCGACCACCUGUCUUUGUCGUGCAAAAUCCUCAUUGCACCUCUGAUACAUUCCUCCUCCUCUCCAAACACACACACAAAAAAAAACAACAACACUGUAAAUCUUCGUCGGUCAAAACGCGCAAAUAUCGGAAGAUCUUGCUCAAUAAUUCAAUACCGAGCGUGUAAAUUCGGUGGAAACAACACGCAUUCCCGAGUCGUGACUGCUAAAGUGAGUAAUGUGCGCGUUGGCUGCGUCAGGAGAGGCAGUCACUGUGCAGUGCAGACGGUGGGGGAGAAUCGUGACUGACUGGGUUGCAAAUGAAAAGACCACCCAAUUAAAAAAUUCCCAUACCGGGAGGGAGGAAAGAGAAGAGGGGAUCAUGGCGGGAGGGAAAGGGUGGAGGUCUGAGGUGGGCUUUAGAGUCUCUACUAGCCAUUUCCUUAACGCCCCCCUCCCCACCCCAGCACCCCAGUCCAAAAUAUCUCCUUUCUCCCCAAAGCUUGUUUUUAUUGUGAGCCCUGCUGUUUGCUGGCAGCCAACUUGAAUGCAGACGAGUUUCAUCAGUGAUAGUGGGGCAGUGAGGAUUGGGGGUGGAGGGGUGGGGGGCAAACCUGUUACAAACAAGUGGGGAGCAGAGAGAGGGGGUCCGGAUCCAGAUCGUGACCCGGCCUCCACCUCGGUAUACAGUAACUUGCAGGUCCGUGAAGGGGAAGCUGAGGGUUGUUUAUGGGGGUAAGAUAUUGCACUGGCAUUAGAAAAUCUAAUGGGAAUGUUGCAGGAAUAAAAACAGGAAAGAACAAUGCCGAAAAAAGAUGGUAAUGGGGUGACAUGUGUGCCCGGUGGACCCUGCUGCCGCUGCUGCCGCUGCUGCUGUUGCUGGAGCCUCCAGAUGUGCACCGGAGAAUAAAGGGGACCCACGUUUUGGAUGUUUUCACCGAGGGAGUGCACAGAGACACCGGUCGACCUUCCUACUCCUCCUUGUCUCCCCCCUCUUCCUCGUACGGAGAAAGGACAGAAUUGAUGGUUUUAAGAAGAAAUAGAAUGGAAGUAAAACACUUGAUGAAGGAUAAGAAGCAGCUGAAAGGAAAAAGGAAGGCCCUGUCAGGGAGGGAGGAGGCAACGGGAUGGGCAGCAAAAGAUCUUGGCUCAACUGACACCUUUUUUUCAAGUAGCACCACCCAAAACUGUGAGAGUCAAGCUGGUUUGAGUGAGGCACACCCGUGUCCUGCACUCAGAACCGGGGAGAGUCAUCUAAUCACAGCUGUGAAAGGAUAAGCAGGAUGAUGUGACAGCAGCCACAUGCACCACAGCUGUGCACAUUCACCACUGUCUACUCAGCUGGAUAUAAUGUGCACACAUACAGAUGCAGCUGCUGUAACGUUGCUGUCGUCGGAGGAUGAAGCCUUUUGGAACUGCGAGGACACGACCAACACAUGAAGGUGGACUCUCAAAACGUCCGAUAGGAGUGUGUGUGUCAUGAUAUUUAAUAUUAUCCGUUUAAACACACUUUGAGGGUACAUUUUGCUGACUGUGUUACACCACACUAAAAUGUAUAGUAUGUACAACAUUGCUGGUAAAAAUUUGUGUGCAAAACCUGGGUUCAUAUUACAGUCUGUAGUUCAAUGUGUAAUAUUGAUUUUGCAAUAAUGCCAGAAUACAAAAUCUGUAGUCAAAAGUAUUUUUGUGAAGAUAAUUUUGUCAAAGGUGACAUUUGGUAAAUAUAUUUUAUCUUGCAGAAAUACAUUCAAUUCCAUCUCGUUUGUGAGUGUUAUACAAAUUGCUGGUCGAUACUCCUGGUGUCACGUUGGCUUCGGUCCAUCCACUUGUGUCAAAGAAUUCGAGCAGCUGCGUGAUGACUGUCAGCAUGUAGACACAUUUUUAUACUCCUGUCUCUCUGCUGAGUACAUGGCAGGCUUUGUUUUCUGCCAGACAGACAAGGUUUGUCUGCAUUUCAUGUUUAGUUUGUGUGUGAGAGAGAGACAGGGAGCAUGGCGGUGGAAGAGGUGUGUUGGAGACUAAAAAGGCUGUUUCAAGUAUCCUUUCUGGGUCGGAGUGGGGAACAGAGAACACAUACCGUUGAAGAACAACUCGUGACAGCUGGUUGUGCUGAAACAUCCAGCGUCUGUAAAGACGACUGACUUAUUCGUGCGCAUGGAAAUGUUUAAAAAACUGUGAAAUAAAGCGAUGGAAAUUCA